AAAUUUGAAAAAAAUAAAUUUUAGUGUUCCAGUUUUUCGAAGAACCAAGAUGGCUGACUUCACAGCUCGAGGCUUCGACUGUUGUUCGUAAAUGAAUCUGCGCUUCGCAGGUUUCGUGAUGAGAGUACAAAGAUGAGGGGGAAUAGCCAGUAUGAGAUAUUACACGAUAUGUCUGAAGCUGGCUAUAAAGACUCCCUACCUGUAUACGAUGUUUACACAAUCGCUGAUGAUGUGCCAUACUUCAAAUAAAAAAAUCCUUCAUCUUUUAUUUAGAAAAGAAAUUCAACACACAUAACAGGAUCGCUGAUGGUUAUGAACAUCCAUGAAAGAGAGACACAGGAACAAGUGGAUAUAACGAGGAACGGUCAAUCGCAAAUCCUAUAAAGAUAGAAUUAAGAGAAGGACAAAGACGGAUUAAAAUAGUAACGACCAAAAGAAAGAGAUGGGUAAACACGGACCCCUGGACACACCAGAGGUGGGAUCAGAUGCCUAUGAGGAGCACUGAUGCUCUUAAAAAGCAACGGAAGCCAUGCAGAGUUCCAGUAGUUUUUCCAUGAACCAGUCUUAAGCUAAAUGAUAAAAGGAACAAACGUCGACUUCCCAGCAAUAGACAAAUGGAGGAAUCAUUAACAAGCAGUUUUAAACUAUGAAUAUGCCUGUUAGAGGCAAAUCUCUCUAUGAAAGGUGAAGAUAACAAACAGUGAUCAAUCUCAUAACUCCUAUAAGUUAUACAAAAUAGAGAGAAAUAUAUAUUGGUAACAUUGAAACAGUUAAUUUAUUAGAAUCUACCCCGAAUAAUGCGAAUAAUGACAGCAAUGACAAUCUCUCUCUCUCUCUCUCUCUCUCUCUCUCUCUCUCUCUCUCUCUCUCUGGAUCGUCAGUUUCGAUUUUCUUGUAAGACAAUAUCAACAUCCAAAAUUUCUGUUGAAAAUGUUAUCUCUGAUGAUAAAAAGUGAAGACAAGGAACAGUGAUAAAACUCCUAUAAAGAAUACAAAAUUAAGAGAAGGGUAAACACGGACCCCUGGGCAUACAAAAGGUGGGUCAGAUGUCUAGGAAGAAUAAACAUCUCUUGUUGACCUGUCACACCUGCCGUGAUCCCUGAUCAGAUAAAUGGAGUAAUCCGUAGUAAAAAAAAAUCAGCAUGUCAAAACAGCCUAACAAUUGGUAUGAAACACGUCGGACAGUAUUUGACUCAAUGAUAGCUUGUAUUCGCAAAUUAGUUCAUUAUCACGACCAUAGAAUUUACGAAAUGGUGACUUUAAAUGAGACUGUUGAAAACCCCGCAACAUCAACCUAUUUGUCAGUAACCUGACUCGAUUUAAACAUUGAUCAUAUGCAGAACAUGAUCUCACGUAUCGAAUCAGUCAUAAAUAUCAUAUGCAGGUUAUAAUGUAAUAUUACUACACAAAUAUGGGAAGUUGACGAUGGAGAAGCUGAAAUCAUCCCGUUCGUCAUAAAGCUGUGUUUUUUAGUUUGCUGUUGACAUCUAUGUUCAAUAAAAAUCCAAAAAUGAAGCAGAUUUUAUUUUUUAAUAGAGGAUACCUUACACUUAUUUUGUUGUUUCAUGUUUGCGCAGUCUUGGAGAAACUCAUCUCCUUUUGAAUUAUGUUUACAUCAGUUAAGAACUUGUCUAUGCAAAUCAGCUUUUUUAACGCUUAUGAAAUUAAGACAACAUAAAAAAACCUUUGAACUUACAGUGUAGUAGGUCAGUCUUCGUGUCACAAACAACAGAGAAAAUACUAGUAUUUGUAAAAACAAUAGAGUCAAUAUGAGAAAGCCCAAACCAUCCAUUGCUUAACAGUCAACAUUCUCAGCCUACAAAAAAAAAAAAAAGAAAAAAAAAAAAAAAUACACUGUUAAAAUAUGUUGUUGGUUUAGUACCCAGUGAGCUUUUGCCCUGUGUCUUCCUGUGGAGUUUCUGCUACUGACCACCAGUUCGCUGAACGUAGCCCAGUGAUAGAUCUGCAUGAACCUGUUGGUGUUUGCAACCAAAGAUAAAACUGUAAAUUUUCCUACAUUUUGUGUUGUUUGAUCGCCAAAUAUUCAACAAAAGAGUUUAUAUUGAACGCUUGAUUCUUGUUGGAUAAAAGAAAAACGUUUUGAAGCGACCUUUGA